UACGUAGGGUGCGAGCGUUGUCCGGAAUUAUUGGGCGUAAAGAGCUCGUAGGCGGUUUGUCGCGUCUGCUGUGAAAACCUAAGGCUCAACCUUGGGCUUGCAGUGGGUACGGGCAGACUAGAGUUCGGUAGGGGAGACUGGAAUUCCUGGUGUAGCGGUGAAAUGCGCAGAUAUCAGGAGGAACACCGAUGGCGAAGGCAGGUCGUCUGGGCCGAUACUGACGCUGAGGAGACGAAAGCGUGGGGAGCGAACAGG
rnacentral:rRNA from 1 species